UACGGGGGGGACUAACGUUGUUCGGAUUUACUGGGCGUAAAGGGCGCGUAGGCGGACUUUCAAGUCGGAUGUGAAAUCCAUAGGCUUAACUUAUGGCUUGCAUUCGAUACUGUUGGUCUUGAGUAUAUCAGAGGAAAGCGGAAUUCCAGGUGUAGCGGUGAAAUGCGUAGAUAUCUGGAAGAACACCAGUAGCGAAGGCGGCUUUCUGGGGUAAUACUGACGCUGAAGCGCGAAGGCUAGGGGAGCAAACAGG
rnacentral:misc_RNA from 1 species